AUUGAACGCUGGCGGCAUGCUUUACACAUGCAAGUCGAACGGUAACAGGGAGCUUGCUCCGCUGACGAGUGGCGAACGGGUGAGUAAUGCGUCGGAACGUGCCGAGUAGUGGGGGAUAACGCAGCGAAAGUUGUGCUAAUACCGCAUACGUACUGAGGUAGAAAGUGGGGGACCUUCGGGCCUCACGCUAUUCGAGCGGCCGACGCCUGAUUAGCUAGUAGGUGAGGUAAAGGCUCACCUAGGCGACGAUCAGUAGCGGGGCUGAGAGGAUGAUCCGCCACACUGGGACUGAGACACGGCCCAGACUCCUACGGGAGGCAGCAGUGGGGAACGUUGGACAAUGGGCGAAAGCCUGAUCCAGCCAUGCCGCGUGUCUGAAGAAGGCCUUCGGGUUGUAAAGGACUUUUGUCGGGGAGGAAAUCCCCAGCGCUAAUACCGCUGGGGGAUGACAGUACCUGAAGAAUAAGCACCGGCUAACUACGUGCCAGCCGCCGCAGUAACAC
rnacentral:rRNA from 1 species